rnacentral:pre_miRNA from 1 species
UACCGAGGUUUUCCUCGGCAGUUAACUACCGAAGUUUUCCUCGGUAGUUAACUACCGAAGCGUCC